rnacentral:rRNA from 1 species
UACGGAGGGUGCAAGCGUUAAUCGGAAUUACUGGGCGUAAAGCGCACGCAGGCGGUCUGUCAAGUCGGAUGUGAAAUCCCCGGGCUCAACCUGGGAACUGCAUUCGAAACUGGCAGGCUAGAGUCUUGUAGAGGGGGGUAGAAUUCCAGGUGUAGCGGUGAAAUGCGUAGAGAUCUGGAGGAAUAUCGGCGGCGAAGGCGGCCUCCUGGACGAAGACUGACGCUCAGGUGCGAAAGCGUGGGGAGCGAACAGGAUUAGAUACCCUGGGAGUCCACGCCGUAAACGAUGUCGAUUUGGAGGUUGUGCCCUUGAGGCGUGGCUUCCGGAGCUAACGCGUUAAAUCGACCGCCUGGGGAGUACGGCCGCAAGGUUAAA